UCCUCGAUAGCUCAGCUGGUAGAGCACGCGACUGUUAAUCGCUAGGUCGUUGGUUCGAGUCCAACUCGAGGAGCCA
rnacentral:tRNA from 1 species